AUUUAUAUAGUUUAAGAAAAACAUUACAUUUUCAUUGUAAAAAUAAAAAUCUAGUUUUUUAUAAAUU
rnacentral:tRNA from 1 species